AGUGAACGCUGGCGGCAGGCCUAAUACAUGCAAGUCGAGCGAACAGACGAUGAGCGCGCGCCUCUAACGUUGGCGGCUGACGGGUGGGUAACACGUAGAUAACCUACUUAUAAUACUGGGAUAACUUCGGGAAACCGCAGCUAAUACCGGAUAAUAUAUUGAACGGCAUAGUUCAAUAGUGAAUGACGGUUUUGCUGUCACUUAUAGAUGGAUCCGCGCCGCAUUAGCUAGUUGGUAAGGUAACGGCAUACCAAGGCAACGAUGCGUAGCCGACCUGAGAGGGUGAUCGGCCACACUGGAACUGAGACACGGUCCAGACUCCUACGGGAGGCAGCAGUAGGGAAUAUUGGGCAAUGGGCGAAAGCCUGACGGAGCAACGCCGCGUGAGUGAUGAAGGUCUUCGGGUCGUAAAGCUCUGUUAUUAGGGAAGAAAAAAUGUGUAAGUAAAUCUGGCCGUCUUGACGGUACCUAAUGAGAAAGCACCGGCUAACUACGUG
rnacentral:rRNA from 1 species